ACCAUUCAUCAAACAAUUUACUGAAGAUGGUUUCCUUUUUCCUGUUUAUGUAAAUCUGUCGCUGGUUAUUCUAUUUAUUUUUCCAAGAGCGGAAUGGUAUAUACUCUGUACAUGAAUAGCAAGACAGUGGCAGUACUUUUCUGAUAUGGCUAUAUGUAUGUAUGUACUAACACUGAAGUGAAUCUGAUAUAUAAGCCGAAUCAGCCCAUGGGAAGCUUACUCAAAACAUUUAUAUCGUGACUGUUGUGUUUUGAACCUUUGGAGGUUCUUGUUUGACGUAAUAUCUGGCAUCAUAUGGCUUUCUUUCAUGUAUCUCUAUGAUUUCUAGGUUUUUUUGGGCAAUCCUCAUCAAUUAAGACGAAUUGUCACACUCCACGAAGGAAAGUCAUACUCUGUCACGACCUCGAUCUCGAUCUAAGCUAGGGUUUGUCUCAGAUCAGAGAGGAGAGGGGAAAGUGUGAGGUAUAUGCUGAGUAUAUUCGCUGGAAGAGGUAUUAUUUCUGUUUGGAGCAAAGCUCUGACAAUACAACAUAACUCUCACAGGCUAGUCGGGUGCUUAUAUAGCAUCAGCGGCACACGGUGGAAAUAAAAGAGUACAAUAAUAGCCGCAGGAUAUUCUUGGAUGCUUCUAUCUCGGCCAUUCGUUAACUGAAGAAGAAGAAUACUUCGUCAGGCCUGACACUGUUUUCUGCGCCCCCUGACUUUGCUCUAGUAGGGCUUGAACUACGAGUCUGUCUAUCUUGAUAAACGUUGUACUUCUUUAACUGAAGAGUUGUAGGUUUUCUCAUUAUUGUUUUCCCAAAGAAUAUGUUGCUCUCGUAAUGGAUUCGUAGUGUAGUUUGAUUUUCUUCAUUGGAAAGUGUUUCAUUCCUUUUUUCAUAGGCAAUCAAACCUUCUUUCGUAUUAAUAACAACCCCAAAUGUUCUCAGGAAUGGUCUUCCUAGUAUAAGGGGACAUGAAAGAUCGCACUCAAUAUCCAUUAUUGAAAGUCAUGGGAAUAUAAUUUUGAUUUGCUAUAAUAGGGACAUUAUCUACUCUUCCCAAUGGC
rnacentral:lncRNA from 1 species